CCAUUUUAAAAAAAGAAAUUGCAAGAUUACACAUUAUGGCAGAAAUCUUGUUAUUUAUGUUUCUCCUAC